rnacentral:misc_RNA from 1 species
UCUCCGUAGGUGAACCUGCGGAGGGAUCAUUACAGAGUUCGUGCCCUCACGGGUAGAUCUCCCACCCUGUGUCAUUAUACCUUUGUUGCUUUGGCGGGCCGCCCUCGGCUACCGGCCCCGGCUGGUACGCGCCCGCCAGAGGACCCCAAACUCUGAAUGUUAGUGUCGUCUGAGUACUAUACAAUAGUUAAAACUUUCAACAACGGAUCUCUUGGUUCUG